CCACAGGCCACAGCAAACAGCCAGCCAGAAAGUCUACCGAGUGGCAUGUUGAAUGCCAGGGCUAAGUCUGUGCUGCUACAAGAUGACAGUCCCACAACAAGCGGGAAGCAGAACAGGAAAACUGAUCAAAACCCAGAAGCCACAGGGAGCCAAUAGUCAACAGGAGGACAAUGCAUCUAGUAGACGAUGCUGAGGACGUCACCGGCGGAGGAUGGGAUGCGGCUCUGGGAAAGGUAAUUGGUGGACUGUAGGACUGAGAGAUACCCUGAGAGAUGCUCCAAUCCCUGAAUGAAGGCACCAACUCCUGCAUCUUCUGGGUAUCCUGGUACUUCUUUCAAAACUGGACUCUGGCAUCAUGACUAACUGAAAUGUCAUCCACCACUCACAGAACAUCAUUCAUUGAUGAUUUCCUGAGAUAAAAACUUCCUUCUUGUGUUUUUGUGU